UACAGAGGUCUCAAGCGUUGUUCGGAUUCAUUGGGCGUAAAGGGCGCGUAGGCGGCCACCGCAAGUCGACUGUGAAAUCUCCGGGCUUAACCCGGAAAGGUCAGCCGAUACUGCGGGGCUAGAGUGCAGAAGGGGCAACUGGAAUUCUCGGUGUAGCGGUGAAAUGCGUAGAUAUCGAGAGGAACACCUGCGGCGAAGGCGGGUUGCUGGGCUGACACUGACGCUGAUGCGCGAAAGCUAGGGGAGCGAACGGG
rnacentral:rRNA from 1 species